rnacentral:rRNA from 1 species
AUUGAACGCUGGCGGCAUGCCUUACACAUGCAAGUCGAACGGUAACAGGUCUUCGGAUGCUGACGAGUGGCGAACGGGUGAGUAAUACAUCGGAACGUGCCUAGUAGUGGGGGAUAACUACUCUAAAGAGUGGCUAAUACCGCAUGAGAUCUACGGAUGAAAGCAGGGGAUCGCAAGACCUUGUGCUACUAGAGCGGCCGAUGGCAGAUGAGGUAGUUGGUGGGAUAAAAGCUUACCAAGCCGACGAUCUGUAGCUGGUCUGAGAGGACGAUCAGCCACACUGGGACUGAGACACGGCCCAGACUCCUACGGGAGGCAGCAGUGGGGAAUUUUGGACAAUGGGCGCAAGCCUGAUCCAGCAAUGCCGCGUGCAGGAUGAAGGCCUUCGGGUUGUAAACUGCUUUUGUACGGAACGAAAAGCCCUGGGUUAAUACCCUGGGGUCAUGACGGUACCGUAAGAAUAAGCACCGGCUAACUACGUGCCAGCAGCCGCCGUAACAC